rnacentral:ncRNA from 1 species
UGCAAGGAUAAAAACGCAACGUGUAUCGCAAGAUAUGCCAGAGCCGGUAGGUAGCCCGGCCGUCCUGUUAUACAGGGUAAGUAACCUGCCCCUCCGGGUUGUCCGUUCUUUG